rnacentral:rRNA from 1 species
UACAGAGGUCCCGAGCGUUGUUCGGAUUCACUGGGCGUAAAGGGUGCGUAGGUGGUGAGGUAAGUCGGAUGUGAAAUCUCCGGGCUUAACCCGGGAAACUGCAUUGGAAACUACCUUGCUAGAGGUUUUGAGGGGGGACUGGAAUUCUCGGUGUAGCAGUGAAAUGCGUAGAUAUCGAGAGGAACACCGGUGGCGAAGGCGAGUCCCUGGAAACACCUGACACUGAGGCACGAAAGCUAGGGGAGCAAACAGG